AGAGUUUGAUCCUGUCUCAGGACGAACGCUGGCGGCGUGCCUAAUACAUGCAAGUCGAGCGAGCUUGCCUAGAUGAUUUUAGUGCUUGCACUAAAUGAAACUAGAUACAAGCGAGCGGCGGACGGGUGAGUAACACGUGGGUAACCUGCCCAAGAGACUGGGAUAACACCUGGAAACAGAUGCUAAUACCGGAUAACAACACUAGACGCAUGUCUAGAGUUUGAAAGAUGGUUCUGCUAUCACUCUUGGAUGGACCUGCGGUGCAUUAGCUAGUUGGUAAGGUAACGGCUUACCAAGGCAAUGAUGCAUAGCCGAGUUGAGAGACUGAUCAGCCACAUUGGGACUGAGACACGGCCCAAACUCCUACGGGAGGCAGCAGUAGGGAAUCUUCCACAAUGGACGAAAGUCUGAUGGAGCAGCGCCGCGUGAGUGAAGAAGGGUUUCGGCUCGUAAAGCUCUGUUGGUAGUGAAGAAAGAUAGAGGUAGUAACUGGCCUUUAUUUGACGGUAAUUACUUAGAAAGUCACGGCUAACUACGUGCCAGCAGCCGCGGUAAUACGUAGGUGGCAAGCGUUGUCCGGAUUUAUUGGGCGUAAAGCGAGUGCAGGCGGUUCAAUAAGUCUGAUGUGAAAGCCUUCGGCUCAACCGGAGAAUUGCAUCAGAAACUGUUGAACUUGAGUGCAGAAGAGGAGAGUGGAACUCCAUGUGUAGCGGUGGAAUGCGUAGAUAUAUGGAAGAACACCAGUGGCGAAGGCGGCUCUCUGGUCUGCAACUGACGCUGAGGCUCGAAAGCAUGGGUAGCGAACAGGAUUAGAUACCCUGGUAGUCCAUGCCGUAAACGAUGAGUGCUAAGUGUUGGGAGGUUUCCGCCUCUCAGUGCUGCAGCUAACGCAUUAAGCACUCCGCCUGGGGAGUACGACCGCAAGGUUGAAACUCAAAGGAAUUGACGGGGGCCCGCACAAGCGGUGGAGCAUGUGGUUUAAUUCGAAGCAACGCGAAGAACCUUACCAGGUCUUGACAUCCAGUGCAAACCUAAGAGAUUAGGUGUUCCCUUCGGGGACGCUGAGACAGGUGGUGCAUGGUUGUCGUCAGCUCGUGUCGUGAGAUGUUGGGUUAAGUCCCGCAACGAGCGCAACCCUUAUCUUCAGUAGCCAGCACGUAGAGGUGGGCACUCUGGAGAGACUGCCAGGGAGAACCUGGAGGAAGGUGGGGAUGACGUCAAAUCAUCAUGCCCCUUAUGUCCAGGGCUACACACGUGCUACAAUGGCGUAAACAGAGGGAAGCGAACACGCGAGUGUAAGCGAAUCUCAAAAAUAACGUCCCAGUUCGGAUUGCAGUCUGCAACUCGACUGCAUGAAGCUGGAAUCGCUAGUAAUCGCGAAUCAGAAUGUCGCGGUGAAUACGUUCCCGGGUCUUGUACUCACCGCCCGUCA
rnacentral:rRNA from 1 species